CUACGGCCGCACCAGUGAGGAAUAUUGCACAAUGGGGGGAACCCUGAUGCAGCAACGCCGCGUGGAGGAUGACGCAUUUCGGUGUGUAAACUCCUUUUAUAUGUCAAGAAAAUGACGGUAGCAUAUGAAUAAGCACCGGCUAACUCCGUGCCAGCAGCCGCGGUAAUACGGAGGGUGCAAGCGUUACUCGGAAUCACUGGGCGUAAAGGACGCGUAGGCGGGUUGGAAAGUCAGGUGUGAAAUCCUACAGCUUAACUGUAGAACUGCACUUGAAACUUCUAAUCUAGAGUAUGGGAGGGGGAGAUGGAAUUAGUGGUGUAGGGGUAAAAUCCGUAGAUAUCACUAGGAAUACCUAAAGCGAAGGCGAUCUCCUGGAACAUUACUGACGCUAAGGCGUGAAAGCGUGGGGAGCAAACAGGAUUAGAUACCCGCGUAGUC
rnacentral:rRNA from 1 species